rnacentral:lncRNA from 1 species
AGCAGCUGGGCCCCUCUACCCAGGCCCAGAUGCAAAUCAUCUGCCUCCAUUUCAGCUCUCAACCUUCUUCUUUCUCAGAUCCUGGGAUGGCUAUGAACACAGGAUUGACUUUUCGGUCAGCUCAGCUGGGCCUGACCACCAUCAUCAGGCCAAGGAAGAGAAAAUGGCAUGGAACCCUUUCUCAGGAAUGAGACUCUUCUGCUACCUUUAGACUACAUUGAGGGGUAUGACAAGUUUUCAGCCUGAGAAGGGUUUGCAUUCUAUAGGAGAAAUGAACAAACAGCAUUAAUGGUGAUGAUGCAGCAUGGAACAAGUGCUAUGACAGAGAUUAAAAAUCAAGUGCUUGUUCAUUUACUGGAAAGACAGAAGACCGAUUCAGCCUGGAAAGAAAAAUCCCUGAGAAGAUGGUAUGGACUAAACAAAUAAAUGGGAUUUUAACAAAUAAAGAAUGAUAAUU